rnacentral:rRNA from 1 species
CAGCCGCCGCGGGAAUACGGAGGGGGCUAGCGUUGUUCGGAAUUACUGGGCGUAAAGCGCACGUAGGCGGCUUGGUAAGUUAGAGGUGAAAGCCCGAAGCUCAACUCCGGAAUUGCCUUUAAGACUGCCGAGCUAGUAGGUGAGAGAGGUAAGUGGAAUUCCGAGUGUAGAGGUGAAAUUCGUAGAUAUUCGGAAGAACACCAGUGGCGAAGGCGGCUUACUGGCUCAUUCUAGACGCUGAGGUGCGAAAGCGUGGGGAGCAAACAGGAUUAGAUACCCGCGUAGUCCCUGUCUCUUAUAC